rnacentral:lncRNA from 1 species
UAUGGUAUUCGAUAAAAUAAUGAAAUAACAAUUAAAUAAAAGACUUAACCUAGUCAUGCAUAUCAUUAUGAGUUGUCUACUUAUAUUAUAUUCUUAUUAUUAUAGAUUUAACUACAUAAUGACAUCCUUACUUUCACUGUGUGGCAUACUUGACGCCAACAAGUUGAUCAGACCAAAUUAUGUGGACUGAUUGAGGAAUCUAAAAAUUAUUCUCGCACAGGAGUGUUGG